AACAGGCAUUUAAUAAAUAUGACCAAUGUCCAUUUCUUAUAUCAAUAGUGCUAAUUCAUUACGUAGAUACCUAUGUUCUUUUAUUCAAUAAAACAUGCGUGCGCAGACUGAUUCUAAUAAUGCACUAUAUUUUUUCACGAGGCGACAGUGAUAAGCUAUGAAUUGUGAUUGAUUAUUGUACCUCUACACACCUUAUUCUCAUAUUCUCUGGUGAUUAUCAACGAAAUCAAAUUUUCAGUUCACUGAAAUUGCGAUUAAAUACAGAUUUUACGAAAAAAGACAAAGAUAAUUAUUAUUAUCAAUCUCAAAUUUAGAUAACAAAUGAUAUUCAGCAGUGAUGAAGGUCAUUCUGCAUAUGUUUGUAUCAUUAUUUGUCUUACUACCUCGAAUCAUCAUUGGACACAUAGUUACAAUUGAAGUGCCCCAAGAUGUAAGGAGCUCAGUGACGUCAAAUACACCAUCAAAUCCAUGGGCAUCAAUGUGGCGCGAUACAACAACUGAAAACCCACGGACUCCAUGGAGAUCAAAAUGGCGCUUAAGGAGGAAUACUGAAGCAUCAUCGACUUCAUGGACACCAACAUGGCGCCCAAGAAUGACUCCUGAAACACUAUCGACUCAAUGGACACCAACAUGGCACCCAAGAACAACUACUGAAACACCAUCAACUCCAUGGAUACCAACAUGGCGCCCAAGAACGACUACUGAAACAUCAUCGACUCCAUGGACAUCAACAUGGCGCCCAAGAACGACUACUGAAACACCAUCGACUCCAUGGACAUCAACAUGGCGCCCAAGAACGACUCCUGAAACACCAACGACUCCAUCGGGGCCAACGUGGAGCCCAACGGCAGUGUCAACAACUAAACCACCAUCGACUCCUGAAACACCAUCGACUCCUUCGGGGCCAACGACAACUAAACCACCAUCGACUCCUGAAACACCAUCGACUCCAUCGGGGCCAACAUGGAGCCCAACGGCAGCGUCAACAACUGAACCACCAUCAACAUCAGCUACACCAACGACUACCACCAAAAGACCCUCUUGUGGACCUAAUCACGAUUAUGCAUUGAAAGGAUAUGUAGGAGAUGUGUUUUUCACAGGUGAUACUAGUGAAGGUGUCAUAUGCUACAUUGCUCUGGAUGUAUCCAAUAGUUUGUCGCCAAAUCUAAAUAUGUUAUAUCAUGCCAGUUUAUCUCAUUCACUCUGUGAUUUUGCUGUCAAUGGAGGGGGAAAAGGGUCGUUUCUUGAAUUAUGGGGUAUUUUUGACAAAUUAAGAGGAAUUCCAGUAGUUGUUGGAAUGCAAUGGCCAAGUGAUAAUGUUCAUUUCCCAUGUAUUCAAUUCCAGUGAUUGAAAAAUAAUAUGCCAGCUUAAUGACAACGUUGGAUACAUUUUUUUUGUACAUAGCUGAUCACUUGAUGCCUGUUAUUAGGGUGGAUCGCAAAAAAAAAUAGUCAGCGGAUCUUCCAAAUUCAUCAAGGUGUUUGCUGAAUUUGGUCAAAAUCCAUGGAUUUUGUUUUUUUUGGGAGGAGGGAUCCACUUUACGGGUUUAUAUGUAUACCUAUUAGGGUGGUCCUUAUUUACAUGGUCGAAAAUUUGUUUUGCAAUUUUUUUGAUUCCUCCCCCCAAAGUUGUUCCCUUAUAUGAGAAAAUAAAUCCCUGAAAAUUUUAGUCGGAUCGGAUAAUAUUAACCCGUGCCGCAGAGCAUCUGAAAUUUUAGAACUGAUAGAGCGCGUAGACGUUGUAUUUUCCACGAGAGCUGCGCGGCGUUGUUAAUGUUUUCCCCGACACGCAUAUUCCAUAGUCCUGUAUUCGGCUGGAUGCAGUAAAAAAAAUUUUUUUCCACAAAAAGGUCUUCUUUGGCACCUAAAUAAAGAUUCUGGAGUAUAAUCAGCAUCGGAAAAUAUUUUGAGGUGAUUGAGGAACAAUUUCUAAAAAAUGCUCAAAAUUGACAUGAAAAAAUUCCAACAAUUUUUGAUUUUGAUAAUGUAAUUCCAAAAAAAGGAUACCAAACGAUGUCAAAAUAAAUCCCAAACUGGUGUUACCAAUUUUGGAUUGCUCACCUCUUACAGCUAUUACUUACAUAGUCCCAAUAAUAUUUUGUUCAUUAUAAAAAAUGUAAAAAGGACAUAGCCUUUUGGAAUGAUUUCGACAAGUAUCACCCCUGUGAGCUAUCAAGGAGCAAUCCUAAAAACUACGGUUGAUUAUCUUUUUUAAAAACAAUUAAAGUUUAAUAAUAAUACCCAAGUUUAUAAUUUUUAAAUUAAAUUUUAACAAAGAAAUAUUGUUUAAAAAAUCAAUUUUUUUAAUAUACCUGGGAAAGUAUUUCAAUUUUUAUAUUAUUUUUUUUUUUAAAUAAACGAAAUUAUUGGUAUCACUGGUUUGGGGUUUAUUUUGACAUAGUUUGAUAUCCUUUUUUGGUAUUACAUUUUCAAAAUCAAAAAUUGUUGGAAUUUUCCCAUGUUGAUUUUGAGCAUUUUUUAGAAAUUAUUCCUCAAUCACCUCAAAAUAUUUUCCGAUACCGAUUAUACUUCAGAAUCUUUAUUUAGGUGCCAAAGAAGACCUUUUUGUGGAAAAUUUUUUUUUUACUGCAUCCAGCCGAAUACAGGACUAUGGAAUAUGCGUGUCGGGGAAAACAUUAACAACGCCGCGCAGCUCUCGUGGAAAAUACAACGUCUACGCGCUCUAUCAGUUCUAAAAUUUCAGAUGCUCUGCGGCACGGGUUAAUAUUAUCCGAUCCGACUAAAAUUUUCAGGGAUUUAUUUUCUCAUAUAAGGGAACAACUUUGGGGGGAGGAAUCAAAAAAAUUUGAAAAUGUGAAAAUAAGGACCACCCUAAUACCUAUACUUAAUUGAUAAAAAUACUCAACCUAUGUUUGUUGUUUCAUAAAAGUGAGCCAUUUCAACACAAUCAUGUAGAUGGGUAUUGUUUUUGUGAAAAAAUACAUCCAUGUAGGCCAAUUUUUAAUCCGAAGACUCAUGUAGCCUGUAAGUACCUACAUAAUCAAUUCAUAUGUAGUUUUGAAAGCCAUACGCUCACGUACAUAAUACUUUAUUGCAACUGUUAUUAGAGAUAAGUAGGUACAUACAUUCUGUGUUUUUAAUUUCAAUACAAAAUUGGUAUACUUAGAGUGAAAUAUAUUUUUAUAACUUUAUAAAUACCUGGUCAGUUAAAAUUCAAAACAAAAUUGCUUUUUAAACUCUGUUGUUUGUAUUCUUAUUGCGAAAUGCUAUCUACACUUGGCCAUUUUUUCGACGUAACUUUCAAGAAUGAAAUGAUUCAUCUUCAAAAUUGAAGGAGCUAAGAGAGCACAGCUAUUAGUAGCCCACUGAAAAAUUUUAGAGCCUGUAGCUUCUUCAAAUUUCAACAUUAGUAGUACCAUUCCAUGCCAAAUCGGCGGAUUUUUACACGAGGGGUCUGAUUUUUUUCAAAAACAGGUCAUAUGUAGAGGUCAUAAAAGAUUACGAAUGACGCAAACCUGACAUUUUUUCGAUUUUUUUGGUGGAGCUGUGGGGCUUCAAAGUUCUCCAAAAUGACCGAAAAUGGAACAUUUCAGUUGCAAAUUUUAUGUAGAAUUUCAUAUCAAAAAAUUAGACUGGCAAUUUUUUUCAUUUUCGAGAAAAACAUUGAAAGUUUUACACUUUUAAGUGCAAAAAUACCAUCAGAAACCUAAAAAUUGAAAAUUUUUGCACUUUUGAGAUAUUUUACCAAUGUGUAGGCGAACAUGAGAGAAAAAACUCCCCCUCCAAUUUUUCAACGAAUCGACGAGAAAUGCCAUUUUUCGUGCUAUAAUUUUAAGAGUGAAAUAUAUUGAAAAAUUUUCGCAGUCGUCUUAAACAAAAGCAGAAACCUAAAACAUGAAUAUUUUAGCACUUUUUAAAUAUUUCACCAAUUGCACUAAAAGUAAUCUCGUCAAUAUGGGCUUUCUCGUCAAUUCAUUGACAAAUACAUUGACAAAUACAGGAGGGAGAAGAGAUUUUUUCACAUGUCCAUCUACAUAUUGGUAAAAUAUCUAAAAGUGCAAACAUUGUACCGGGAGGGGAUGCGCCCGCAGCUUCCACCUAAAGGGAAGUUGUGCUCCGGAGGAAGUGGUAUCACUGCCAAUGGAAAGUUCCGUGGAAAGUUCCAUAAGGCAGAGACAUCUAUUGGACUUGGUCCAAGGACCACUUCCGACAUUGUAACAUGGGCAGAGCCAACAGUUUAAGUAUAGCCGUACUCGCGUAUAGUUAAUAUUUAUCUUGUGCUAGGGAAAUCGUUUUAGGCCUUGUGCCAUGUACAUUUAUUGUCUCUUUGUUUUAGCAUUAUAAUUGUACUUUACUCGUUAAAUACAAUUUAAUGCAAGUGCGCACCUCCGGUGAUUUAUUUAUUUAUUUCGAGUCGCAUCGCGAUACAAUUUCUUUCUGAUCUCGUUAGUCAGAGCUAGAAUAUAGGUCUCCUGUAUUCACCCAUGUGGUUUUGGUCAAAGACUCUUCUUUCUCAAAGUAGAAGUCACCCCCGGACUCCACAACAUUUUCAUUUCUUAGAUUUCUGAUGGUAUUUUUGCAUUCAAGUGUACCUACCAAAAACUUUUAAUUUUUUUUUCUCGAAAAUAAAAAAAAAAAUACCAGUCUAUUUUUUUGAUAUGACAUUCUACAUACAUAAAAAGGACAAAAACUGAGAAUUUUUCAGAAUUUUUACUCAUCGAGAUCAUGGUUAUAUUUAAAAUAUAAGUUUUUAAAUCGAUUUUUCCGGUUUUUGAAAGUGGCAACACUGAAAUUUUCCAUUUUUCAGUCAUUUUAAAGAACUUUGAAACACCACAGCUCCGUCAAAAAAAAUCGGAAAAAAUGUCCGGUUUGCGUCAUGCGUCAUCGUUAGAUGACCUUUGAUUUUGAAAAAAAUCGAAGACCUCCUCGUGCAAAAACCCGCCGAUUUGGCACGGAAUGACCCGGUACAAUUAGAAUUGUUCAGUGAUUUUAGGGGGAAAAUAGUUAACUCGUAAGACUCCUCGUUAAACCAAAACCAACAAGAAAAAAAACGUUCUUUAUACCAUAAUAUUUGACGUAGGUUAGGUACCUAAUUAUAUUUAUACCCAGCAACAAGUAUUUUAAAAAUAAUUACGAUCAAUGUCCAUUUCUUAUCUUCAAUAGUGCUAAUUCAUCGCAAAUGAAGUUCUUUUAGUCAAUAAAACAUGCACGCGCAGACUGAUUCUAAUUAAGUAUAAGUACCUAUGUACUUUAUUUUUUCACGAGGCAGCAGUGGUAAGUUAUAAAUUGUGAUUGAUUAUUGUUCCUCUACACACCUUGUUCUCACAUUCUCGUAUGGUAAUCAAUGAAAUCCAUUUUCACUUCACCGAGUAAAUGAUUUCUGUUUCAGAAUUGCCAUCGAAUAUACAGAUUUUGCGAAAAAAGGCAAAGAUACCUUAUCGACCUUCAACAGUGAUGAAGGUCAUGCAGCAUAUGUUUGUACCAUUAUUUUUCAUCUUACUACCUCAAAUCAUCGCAACAGUAUCAUCAUCAACAACAACAACAUCUGCACCAACGACUACCACCAAAAGACCUACUCCUACUUGUGGACCUAAUCACGAUUAUGUAUUGAAAGGAUAUGUAGACGAUGUGUUUUAUAAUGGUGAUACAGGUGGAGGUGUCAUAUGUUACAUUGCUAUGCGUACGCGCGGUAGUCUGUCGCCGAAUUUAAAUAAGUUAUAUCACGCUUGCUCGUCUCAAUCACUCUGUGAUUAUGCUGACAGAGAAAAGGAAAGAGGGCGGCAACCCGAAUUAUGGGGUAUUUUUGACGAAAUAAGAGGAAUUCCAGUAGUUGUGGGAAUGCGAAGACCGGAUGAUGUUGCUCAUUUCCCAUGUAUUCAGCAUAAAAAUACUCAAUCCGAGAAUGUUGUUAAAUAAAAGUGAUACUGUUUUAACAUAAGUAUACUAUAGGUUAUUGUAGGUAUAGUAUGUACAAUUAUUAUUAUUAAAGAUAAGUAUAUAUUUUGCACUUCCAAUUCCAAUACAAAUAGGGUUAAAUAUUUUUAUAGAUUUGAUAUCCAGUAAAGUUAAAAUUCAUAACGAAUGUUUGUACUCUUAUUGCCAUACGUUAUCCUGCAACUUGACCAUUUUUUCUACAUAACUUUCAAGAACGAAAUUAUCAAUCGACUUCGAUAUUUUUUACCAACAUAAAUUUUGAGAUCCAAUGCAUCGAGCCACAAUUAUUAGAACAAUUUUGGAUUAUUCGGUGACGUGAGAAAAGAAGUUAUUCGUAUAUCUUCUCGUUAAGCUGACAAAAAUCCAUGUGAUGAAAUUGCUGAAGUUACAAUAUAUGUAUAAACUACUAAAAACUUACACCUAUGCCAGGCUAUAUCUAAUUCUAAAAAAUAUAUAGGUACAGGUACCUAUACCUAACCAAUGUCCACUUCUUAUCUUCAACAAAAAACUAGUUAAUAGUACAUGUUUAUUGUUCUGCUAAAAUAAUUUAAUAAAACAUGCGUGCGUAGGUUGAUUCAAAUAAUGCGAUUUAAUUUUUGCUUUUUCAUCAGAAAUACCCGUGUUAAACGUUAUACCAACAACGUACCGUACGUAUUAUUCUCCGUCUACUGUGUUCGAUGAACGUAUCUACCUGCCUAAUGCUUACUUUUCAGCCUUCUUAUACGGGAUAGUUAUUAAUGAAAACAAUUUUUCAAAUUACUGAGUAGAAUUAUUAUCAUCGUAGAUUUUUCGAAAAAAAGCACAGCGAUGAGCGUCAACUUAGUUCUGUUUGUAUCAUCAUUCAUCUUACUUCCAAAUAUCAUCGCUGGAAGGUCAAUCACAAUCACUAUUGACAUACCCCGAGAGUCAUGGGUCGCAACGAGCCAAGAGUCAACUAGUAAACCACCAUCGACAACUCCGCCAACAACCCCCAGUGAAAGACCCUCUUGUGGACCUAAUUACGAUUAUAUUCUGAAAGGAUUCGUAGACAAUGUAUUUUUCACGGGUAAUUCCGAUGAAGGUGUCGUGUGUCACAUUGCUCUGAGUAUUUCCAAUACUUCAUCGCAAAGUGUAGAUAAAGAUAAGUUAUACCAUGCUUGUUUUUCUCGUUCGCUCUGUGACCAUGCUGAAAAAGAAAUGGAACUCAGAUUGGGUCAACGACACAUGGGUGAACUUCAAUUUUGGGGUAUCCAUGACAAAUUUAGAAGAAUUCCAGUAGUUGUCGGAAUGCAAUGGGACAAUUCCGACGCUCAUUUUCCGUGUUAAUUACAACAAUUAAAAAUGCACAGCAGCUUAGUUAGAGUUACAUAAAUUUAUUUUUUUAUUUUUUGUUCAAGUGCACAAUACGUAUACUUAAUCGCUUUUAUGUCAGCUUUUACACUUGAAUAUUUACGUAGGUACGAGUAUCAAGUAAGACCAAUCCAUGUUCGAAGUAACUUUUGAAAUUUAGUAGGUAUACUAUAGGUUAUAGGUAUAGGUAGUACAAAAUACUUAUUACGAGUAUUAAAGAUAAAUAUGUAACACAUUUUGUACUUCCAAUUCCAAUACAAAUAGGGUGAAAUAUUUCUAUAAAUUUGAUAUCCAGUAAAGUUGCAAUUAUUCAUAACCAAA